rnacentral:rRNA from 1 species
UACGUAGGGUGCAAGCGUUGUCCGGAUUUAUUGGGUUUAAAGGGUGCGUAGGCGGUCUGUUAAGUCAGUGUUUAAAUUUUGCAGCUUAACUGUAGGUAUGGCAUUGAUACUGAUGGACUUGAAUAUUAAGGAGGUAGCUGGAAUUUAUGGUGUAGCGGUGAAAUGCAUAGAUACCAUAAGGAACACCGAUAGCGGAGGCAGGUUACCACUUGAUAAUUGACGCUGAGGCACGAAAGUGUGGGGAUCAAACAGG